rnacentral:rRNA from 1 species
UCCCGUACACCAAAAUGCACAGGCUGUGAACUCGAAGAGUAGGGCGGGACACGUGGUAUCCUGUCUGAAUAUGGGGGGACCAUCCUCCAAGGCUAAAUACUCCUGACUGACCGAUAGUGAACCAGUACCGUGAGGGAAAGGCGAAAAGAACCCCGGCGAGGGGAGUGAAAAAGAACCUGAAACCGUGUACGUACAAGCAGUGGGAGCACCUUCGGGUGUGACUGCGUACCUUUUGUAUAAUGGGUCAGCGACUUAUAUUCUGUAGCAAGGUUAACCGUAUAGGGGAGCCGCAGGGAAACCGAGUCUUAACUGGGCGUUAAGUUGCAGGGUAUAGACCCGAAACCCGGUGAUCUAGCCAUGGGCAGGUUGAAGGUUGGGUAACACUAACUGGAGGACCGAACCGACUAAUGUUGAAAAAUUAGCGGAUGACUUGUGGCUGGGGGUGAAAGGCCAAUCAAACCGGGAGAUAGCUGGUUCUCCCCGAAAGCUAUUUAGGUAGCGCCUCGUGAAUUCAUCUUCGGGGGUAGAGCACUGUUUCGGCUAGGGGGUCAUCCCGACUUACCAACCCGAUGCAAACUACGAAUACCGAAGAAUGUUAUCACGGGAGACACACGGCGGGUGCUAACGUCCGUCGUGAAGAGGGAAACAACCCAGACCGCCAGCUAAGGUCCCAAAGUCAUGGUUAAGUGGGAAACGAUGUGGGAAGGCACAGACAGCCAGGAUGUUGGCUUAGAAGCAGCCAUCAUUUAAAGAAAGCGUAAUAGCUCACUGGUCGAGUCGGCCUGCGCGGAAGAUGUAACGGGGCUAAACCAUGCACCGAAGCUGCGGCAGCGACACUAUGUGUUGUUGGGUAGGGGAGCGUUCUGUAAGCCUGCGAAGGUGACCUGUGAGGGUUGCUGGAGGUAUCAGAAGUGCGAAUGCUGACAUAAGUAACGAUAAAGCGGGUGAAAAGCCCGCUCGCCGGAAGACCAAGGGUUCCUGUCCAACGUUAAUCGGGGCAGGGUGAGUCGACCCCUAAGGCGAGGCCGAAAGGCGUAGUCGAUGGGAAACAGGUUAAUAUUCCUGUACUUGGUGUUACUGCGAAGGGGGGACGGAGAAGGCUAUGUUAGCCGGGCGACGGUUGUCCCGGUUUAAGCAUGUAGGCUGGUUAUCCAGGCAAAUCCGGAUAAUCAAGGCUGAGGUGUGAUGACGAGGCACUACGGUGCUGAAGUAACAAAUGCCCUGCUUCCAGGAAAAGCCUCUAAGCAUCAGGUAACAUCAAAUCGUACCCCAAACCGACACAGGUGGUCAGGUAGAGAAUACCAAGGCGCUUGAGAGAACUCGGGUGAAGGAACUAGGCAAAAUGGUGCCGUAACUUCGGGAGAAGGCACGCUGGUGUGUAGGUGAAGUCCCUGCGGAUGGAGCUGAGACCAGUCGAAGAUACCAGCUGGCUGCAACUGUUUAUUAAAAACACAGCACUGUGCAAACACGAAAGUGGACGUAUACGGUGUGACGCCUGCCCGGUGCCGGAAGGUUAAUUGAUGGGGUUAUCCGUAAGGAGAAGCUCUUGAUCGAAGCCCCGGUAAACGGCGGCCGUAACUAUAACGGUCCUAAGGUAGCGAAAUUCCUUGUCGGGUAAGUUCCGACCUGCACGAAUGGCGUAAUGAUGGCCAGGCUGUCUCCACCCGAGACUCAGUGAAAUUGAACUCGCUGUGAAGAUGCAGUGUACCCGCGGCAAGACGGAAAGACCCCGUGAACCUUUACUAUAGCUUGACACUGAACAUUGAGCCUUGAUGUGUAGGAUAGGUGGGAGGCUUUGAAGCGUG